UUUAGAGGAAAUGCUAUGAGUUUGUUAUGACUUACCGGGUGGUGGUUUUUUCUGGGUUCCCCCUUGUAGCUACUUGACUAUAAUUUGGAGUUCAUUCCAAUCAACACAGCUUACUCGGAGUGGUACAACAUUAACUGUUUGUUUAAAACCUGGAGUCGUCAUGAUCUGCUUCUCCUAGAAAAAAUUGUGGUGAUUGGACAAGAUAUGCAUUCUUUCUGUUUUCUACCCUGGGUGUUUGUUGCAGGAAAUUUUG
rnacentral:misc_RNA from 1 species